rnacentral:tRNA from 1 species
GCCGGGAUGGUGGAACUGGUCAGACACAGGGCGCUUAAAACGCCCUGGGGGCAACCCCGUGCAGGUUCGAGUCCUGCUCCCGGCACCA